UCGAUGGAGAGUUUGAUCCUGGCUCAGGACGAACGCUGGCGGCGUGCCUAACACAUGCAAGUCGAACGAGGUUCAUCUGGUGGCAACACCAGAGAAGACCGAGUGGCGAACGGGUGAGUAACACGUGAGCAACCUGUCCCGAAGACUGGGAUAACACCGGGAAACCGGUGCUAAUACCGGAUACCCCCACCGGGUCGCAUGGCCGGGUGAGGAAAAGGACUUCUGCUUCGGGAGGGGCUCGCGGCCUAUCAGCUAGAUGGUGGGGUAACGGCCUACCAUGGCGUCGACGGGUAGCUGGUCUGAGAGGACGAUCAGCCACACUGGGACUGAGACACGGCCCAGACUCCUACGGGAGGCAGCAGUGGGGAAUCUUGCGCAAUGGGCGAAAGCCUGACGCAGCAACGCCGCGUG
rnacentral:rRNA from 1 species